CUUUGCUUCCUUUGCUUCUGCAAGGGAACAAUGAGCAAGUGCAUGUGUGGGAACCCUCCUGCCUGCUGGGCGCUCAGCUAGGAGUCCCAGAAUACCAGACACCAUUAUAUUCAAAUACCACAAAAGAUGUGAGAAUUCAAACUGAGCCAUAGCUCCAUCUCCUGGAAGUGUAUAUCAGCAGCAACAAGAGUAAAGACCCAGAGGCAUGAGAAACACUUCCUCACUGAAGCACUCACGUUCCGACUGUGUGCAAAAGACCUUUUGUGUCUCACUCACUGAGGGAGAUUGUUCUUCACUCAAUCAAUGAGAAGAACAGACGUCUUAGAAAACCUUCAGUACCUGGGGGAAAUGAAUGAGCUCAAACACAAGGGAAAGUCAGCCCGUGUUCAAGAUAAGCCCAUCUCAGGAAGGCAGGCACCAUGCUCCUGAGACUACUUUACCCCCAGAUAAGAAAGCCCUUAUUGAUAAGCCAAAAUCACAGAUUAUUUUAUUAAGCUCAUAUUUUAAAAGAAUGCAAAGCUUCC
rnacentral:lncRNA from 1 species